GGUCUGUGAUGAGUUUUGGCAUGUAUUAUCUGAGUAUAAAUUUGAAGAUGAUUAUUUUAGCUCUAGAAUUACUCUGAGAUCUG
rnacentral:snoRNA from 1 species